rnacentral:rRNA from 1 species
AGCAGUAGCCGCGGUAACACGGAGGGUGCAAGCGUUACUCGGAAUCACUGGGCGUAAAGGACGCGUAGGCGGAUUAUCAAGUCUCUUGUGAAAUCUAACGGCUUAACCGUUAAACUGCUUAGGAAACUGAUAAUCUAGAGUAAGGGAGAGGCAGAUGGAAUUCUUGGUGUAGGGGUAAAAUCCGUAGAUAUCAAGAAGAAUACCUAUUGCGAAGGCGAUCUGCUGGAACUUAACUGACGCUAAUGCGUGAAAGCGUGGGGAGCAAACAGGAUUAGAUACCCCCGUAGUCCCUGUCUCUUAUAC